rnacentral:rRNA from 1 species
GACGAACGCUGGCGGCGUGCCUAAUACAUGCAAGUAGGACGCAGUUGCGAACGGGUGAGUAACGCGUAGGUGACUACCUAUCCGAGGGGGAUAACUAUUGGAAACGAUAGCUAAUACCGCAUACUAGUAGAUGGACCUGCGUUGUAUUAGCUAGUAGGUAGGGUAAUGGCCUACCUAGGCAACGAUACAUAGCCGACCCUAGAGGGGUAGCGGCCACACUGGUACUGAGACACGGCCCAGACUCCUUCGGGAGGCAGCAGUAGGGAAUCUUCGGCAAUGGGGGGAACCCUGACCGAGCAACGCCGCGUGAGUGAAGAAGGUGUUCGGAGCUUUAAGCUCUGUUGUUAAGGAAGCGGUACUUAACCAGAAAGGGACGGCUAACUACGUGCCAGCAGCCGCGGUAAUAC